rnacentral:rRNA from 1 species
UGCGUAGGUGGUUUCUUAAGUCAGAGGUGAAAGGCUACGGCUCAACCGUAGUAAGCCUUUGAAACUGGGAAACUUGAGUGCAGGAGAGGAGAUUGGAAUUCCUAGUGUAGCGGUGAAAUGCGUAGAUAUUAGGAGGAACACCAGUUGCGAAGGCGGCUCUCUGGACUGUAACUGACACUGAGGCACGAAAGCGUGGGGAGCAAACA